UGCGAGUCAUAUGUUCUUCGUGAACAUGGCGUACUGCUCAGUAACACGUGGAUAACCUGCCCUUGGGACCGGGAUAACCCCGGGAAACUGGGGAUAAUACCGGAUAACGCAUAUCUGCUGGAAUGCUUUAUGCGUAAAAUGGAUUUGUCUGCCCAAGGAUGGGUCUGCGGCCUAUCAGGUAGUAGUGGGUGUAAUAUACCUACUAGCCUACGACGGGUACGGGUUGUGAGAGCAAGAGCCCGGAGAUGGAUUCUGAGACAUGAAUCCAGGCCCUACGGGGCGCAGCAGGCGCGAAAACUUUACAAUGCGGGAAACCGUGAUAAGGGGACACCGAGUGCCAGCAUCAUAUGUUGGCUGUCCAGAUGUGUGAAAUACAUCUGUUAGCAAGGGCCGGGCAAGACCGGUGCCAGCCGCCGCGGUAACACCGGCGGCCCGAGUGGUGAUCGUGAUUAUUGGGUCUAAAGGGUCCGUAGCCGGUUUGGUCAGUCCUCCGGGAAAUCUGACGGCUCAACCGUUAGGCUUUCGGUGGAUACUGCCAGACUUGGAACCGGGAGAGGUAAGAGGUACUACAGGGGUAGGAGUGAAAUCUUGUAAUCCCUGUGAGACCACCUGUGGCGA
rnacentral:rRNA from 1 species